rnacentral:rRNA from 1 species
AGAGUUUGAUCCUGGCUCGGGACGAACGCUGGCGGCGCGCCUAACACAUGCAAGUCGAACGAAGCACUUUAUUUGAUUUCUUCGGAAUGAAGAUUUUGUGACUGAGUGGCGGACGGGUGAGUAACGCGUGGGUAACCCUGCCUCAUACAGGGGGAUAACAGUUGGAAACGACUGCUAAUACCGCAUAAGCGCACAGGGUCGCAUGACCUGGUGUGAAAAACUCCGGUGGUAUGAGAUGGACCCGCGUCUGAUUAGCCAGUUGGUGGGGUAACGGCCUACCAAAGCAACGAUCAGUAGCCGACCUGAGAGGGUGACCGGCCACAUUGGGACUGAGACACGGCCCAGACUCCUACGGGAGGCAGCAGUGGGGAAUAUUGCACAAUGGGGGAAACCCUGAUGCAGCGACGCCGCGUGGAGGAAGAAGGUCUUCGGAUUGUAAACUCCUGUUGUUGAGGAAGAUAAUGACGGUACUCAACAAGGAAGUGACGGCUAACUACGUGCCAGCAGCCGCGGUAAAACGUAGGUCACAAGCGUUGUCCGGAAUUACUGGGUGUAAAGGGAGCGCAGGCGGGAAGACAAGUUGGAAGUGAAAUCCAUGGGCUCAACCCAUGAACUGCUUUCAAAACUGUUUUUCUUGAGUAGUGCAGAGGUAGGCGGAAUUCCCGGUGUAGCGGUGGAAUGCGUAGAUAUCGGGAGGAACACCAGUGGCGAAGGCGGCCUACUGGGCACCAACUGACGCUGAGGCUCGAAAGUGUGGGUAGCAAACAGGAUUAGAUACCCUGGUAGUCCACACUGUAAACGAUGAUUAAUAGGUGUUGGAGGAUUGACCCCUUCAGUGCCGCAGUUAGCACGAUAAGUAUUCCGCUUGGGGAGGAGGUUGGCAAGAAUGAAACUCAAAGGAAUUGAGGCGGACCCGCACAUGCGGUGGAGCAGGUGGCUUAAUGCGAAGCUGCGCGAUGAUCCGUUAUAAGUCGAGUCAUCGGGUUGCCAGAACACGUCAUGUGUGUUAUCUUAGGAGCAUCGGUGCCAGGGGGUGCAUGGGUGUAGUGAGUUAGUGUGGGGGGAAGUGGGGGUGAGUCCAGCAAGGAGCGCACCCCUUAUCGUCAGUAGCCAGCAGGUCAAGUGGGGCAGUCUGGGGAGGUUUCCAGGGAGGAAAGGGGGCAAGGAGGGGAAGGCGAUCAAAUCAUCGUGCGCUCUAUCAUUAGGCACCCCCGGGUGCUCCAAUGGUGUUUACGAGAGGGAGGCAAAGCGCGGGAGGGGGAGCGGAUCCCAAAAUUACCCUGGCAGCUGGGAUGGCCGUGAGCAAGUCGAGUGCUUGAAGCGGCAAUCGAGAGUAAUCGAGAAUCGGAACGUGGCGGGGAAUGAGUUCGCGGGUCUUGCACACGCCGCCCGUCA